CCUGGCGGCACUAGCGCGGUGGUCCCACCUGACCCCAUGCCGAACUCAGAAGUGAAACGCCGUAGCGCCGAUGGUAGUGUGGGGUUCCCAUGCGAGAGUAGGGAACUGCCAGGC
rnacentral:rRNA from 1 species